rnacentral:rRNA from 1 species
CUCGUAGGUGGUUUGUCGCGUUGUUCGUGAAAACCUGAGGCUUAACCUUGGGCGUGCGGGCGAUACGGGCAGACUGGAGUACUGCAGGGGAGACUGGAAUUCCUGGUGUAGCGGUGGAAUGCGCAGAUAUCAGGAGGAACACCGGUGGCGAAGGCGGGUCUCUGGGCAGUAACUGACGCUGAGGAGCGAAAGCGUGGGGAGCGAACA